CGUAGGGUGCGAGCGUUAAUCGGAAUUACUGGGCGUAAAGCGUGCGCAGGCGGUUUGUUAAGAUAGGCGUGAAAUCCCCGGGCUCAACCUGGGAACUGCGCUUAUGACUGGCAAGCUAGAGUACGGCAGAGGGGGGUGGAAUUCCACGUGUAGCAGUGAAAUGCGUAGAGAUGUGGAGGAACACCAAUGGCGAAGGCAGCCCCCUGGGUCGAUACUGACGCUCAUGCACGAAAGCGUGGGUAGCAAACAGGAUUAGACACCCUGGUAGUCCACGCCCUAAACGAUGUCAACUAGGUGUUGGGAGGGUAAAACCUUUUAGUACCGGAGCUAACGCGUGAAGUUGACCGCCUGGGGAGUACGGCCGCAAGGUUA
rnacentral:rRNA from 1 species